rnacentral:rRNA from 1 species
AGUGACGAUAGCCUAGGAGAUACACCUGUACCCAUGCCGAACACAGUAGUUAAGCCCUAGAACGCCUGAAGUAGUUGGGGGUUGCCGCCUGUUAGAUACGGUAGUCGCUUAGCU